ACUGCUGCUUUACUCCAAAUGUAUGGGAUAUUAAUUGAAUAGAAACAUGUUUACAAUGUAUUAUUUAUGCAAAAUGUUGGCCUAAGUUGUGUUUAUCAUGGGUGUGAUACCGAAAUCAGUCAAGGCAUAAGCAUUUUUUUGUCUCUCAGAGAUAAAAGCUAAAUUAGUUCUGGUUGUCAAUAAUUUUUGAAAAUUUCUGUUUGUCAAUACCUAAUGCUGUUCAUCACUUAAAAUCUGCUGUUGGAGGGUAACUCAACCUAAUCCAGUUAAGGUGGUAUGCAAAAGGUUGAUGUAGAUAGUUAAAAUAUUCCAAAGUGCUCCAGUUUCUUCUGUUAAUGGAAUUUUAAAAAAUGUUGUGGUUACUUUUGGGAUGAAUCAGGAGAAAAGUACAAUAAUCUAAGAAGGAAUGUGCUACAAGACCCAGAGAGUUUUAAAGCAAUCCACAGAUAAUUUGUACUAAAAAAUAUGUUGGAGAAACUAUUGUAGGAGGCAUUAUGUAAGGGCACUAAGAAGAGUACCUACCUUUUAUUAAAAAGUAAACAUGUUAGAUAAUAAUAAAAAGAAUAUUGCAUUGUUCCUACACUUACCAACCACACUAGUUUCAUCAGGAAUUUCUUCUAUGAAGCAUUUUCUUUCUGUUUCACCUAUGUGAAAGUACAAUGCAGAAGUGCUGGCUAUGCAAUAAAUAACUAAGAAAUACACCCAGUUAAACAUAUUUUAGUAUAGAUUUAAAUAAAGCAGUUACUUAUCGAAAUCUAUUAAAAUUAUUUGAUCUAAACUCUAUUUUCGGUCUUUUCUUCUAUAUGAUUUAAGAAAAA